rnacentral:rRNA from 1 species
GGACCCGCACAAGCGGUGGAGCAUGUGGUUUAAUUCGAUGCAACGCGAAGAACCUUACCAGGGCUUGACAUGCCGCGAAUCGCUAUGAAAAUAGUGGAGCCGAAAGGCGCGGUCACAGGUGGUGCAUGGCUGUCGUCAGCUCGUGUCGUGAGAUGUUGGGUUAAGUCCCGCAACGAGCGCAACCCACGUCUUUAGUUGCCAGCAUUUAGUUGGGCACUCUAGAGAGACUGCCGGUGAUAAACCGGAGGAAGGUGUGGAUGACGUCAAGUCAUCAUGCCCCUUACAUCCUGGGCUACACACGUACUACAAUGCUACGGACAAAGGGCUGCAAGUUCGCGAGGACAAGCAAAUCCCAUAAACCGUGGCUCAGUUCAGAUCGUAGGCUGCAACUCGCCUACGUGAAGGCGGAAUCGCUAGUAAUCG